AAGGAACAAGAUUGGAAGUAUUUUAAUUUUCAGAAAUUAAAACAGGAAAAUGUUCUGUUAUGAAAUCCAAAGGCUAAACUGACAAAUAUCUUUAAUAUUUGUGAAAAUGAAACAUCCAGUGUCAUAAUAAACACAAUCAGAACAUUUCAAAUCCAUAACGAAUGUUAACACAUACAGUUGUAUUUCAUAACAGUGAAAAGUAGCAUCAACCUCACCUGUCAAUCUUAGCAGCCUUAAAGGGGCGUAUAUGAUGGCAGGGCUUAUAUGAAAUAAAGAGUUAUAAGUAUGUACACCCUGUACAGUUUUCACAGAGAGAAACUAACUACAGAGGCUAAAACCAGGUUGUAAAUAUAUUUAUAUCUGCUGUAAAGUUACAUAUUUUAACAUGGGAGUUUAUGGGAUUGACCUUAGCUGCAGAAUCUCACUGUUCCACAUCAGCUUCACUUUUCCAAAGUGGAGGAUUCUGCUUAAACUGAAUCUUAAAGAAAAAAGAAGAAGAAAAAAAAAGCAAUCAACAUGCAUAUUAAAAACAGAACCCAGUAUAUAGUGUCCUAAAUAUGAAUCUGUUUUAUCUCAUGUUCUCUGAUCAUUAUGAUUUAUUUUACUGAAGUGUGGAUGAAACCAACAUAUGGCAUUACCGACUGAUCUAGAGCAUUAAAGAGAUUUUUAAAUUGUUCAAAUGGCCACUUGGGAGAUAAUCUGAUCAAUAAAUAUUUGAUGAGAUGUUAAUUUAAGACUGUUCUGCAGAAAAAUGUCUGAUUUCCAACUCUGUUGCUGCUUAUGAGAUUAAAAAUAGAAAUUCUCCUUCAUACAGUAUUCAGUAACGCCUGGGGGCUACAAAUUACUAACAUGUUUACAGUACAUGACAAAUCACCAUUGUCAAAGCUUCUUUUCAAAACAACUGUCCUUAAUUUAACUGAAACUUCACAGAUUAGAUAUAUGAUUUGUGUGAUGAGCACUAGUGAAACACUGAUUUCUGUCUGUUACAACUGUCACUAAACUAUUUACUGAAGAAAACAUUUCAUAUCACCAAUAUUCAGGCAAGAUCAUUAAUAACUUGGAUUCACUUUGAGAUAAUACUUCACUUCAUUGUGUUUUUUUUCUCU